rnacentral:rRNA from 1 species
GACGAACGCUGGCGGCGUGCUUAACACAUGCAAGUCGAGCGAUGAAGCUUCUUCGGAAGUGGAUUAGCGGCGGACGGGUGAGUAACACGUGGGUAACCUGCCUCAUAGAGGGGAAUAGCCUUCCGAAAGGAAGAUUAAUACCGCAUAAGAUUGUAAUAUCGCAUGAUAUAGCAAUUAAAGGAGUAAUCCGCUAUGAGAUGGACCCGCGUCGCAUUAGCUAGUUGGUGAGGUAACGGCUCACCAAGGCGACGAUGCGUAGCCGACCUGAGAGGGUGAUCGGCCACAUUGGGACUGAGACACGGCCCAGACUCCUACGGGAGGCGGCAGUGGGGAAUAUUGCACAAUGGGGGAAACCCUGAUGCAGCAACGCCGCGUGAGUGAUGACGGUCUUCGGAUUGUAAAGCUCUGUCUUUAGGGACGAUAAUGACGGUACCUAAGGAGGAAGCCACGGCUAACUACGUGCCAGCCGCCGCCGUAA